GCAUUGUCGAUAGCAACCCCGACAACAGCAAAUGCUGAGCGACUGAAAGAGAGAAAAACAGAUGUACGUGUGCUCAUACACACUCACACACACGUAUAUAUGUAUAUGCAUUCAGGCAGCAUACAGAUGUUGCUUGAAAAUUUUUUCUUACAUGUUUUUUGGCUGCACUUCUUGGAACUUUGCAAUUUUGUUAAUUUGUAAAGGAGCAAAAACAUUUAAGUGAUAUUUCAGUAAAAACUAUUGCUGCUUAUUGUGCUGGCUUGCCAUCAGAAAAGCAUAAACAACACAUGUAUGUAUGUUUGUAUGUCUGCAUACAUAUAGACAUCUGUCUGUACAUACAUACAUACAUAUAGAAUAUGAGGCUGCCAGCCCGCUACGCUUUUCUCUCAUCUGGCUGGAUGGCUGGCUGCAUUGGCUUCACAAUGACGCCCCCAAUACACCCGUACAACUUCUACUACGGCAAGUAUUAGUACGCAAGAUGGCGUACCGUACAACCGCACAACAGGACUGCUGCAAUACAGUUAUCCUUUUCCAACCAGCGUUAGGUGGCUCGCCUGCAACUGCAACAGUCUAGGAUCAUUGAUUUUUUAGCCAUGGCCCAGGAGCAUGCGCCGGGCAAUUCCAUCGGCCUCGUCCAGUCUUUGACUCUUGGCGCGUGUCAAUGCACCGGCAUGACACGUCGUUGCAGCCCAUCAUUGACGCGCACCUUCCAGACGCAGACGCUAACACGGACGGCGACGCCGGCAGAGCGACGUCGACAGCAGCUGCUUUUAUGUUUAUGAUGUAUUUACCGUGUGACAUUGGCAGCUGCAAAUAAUAUCAAUAACGCGAUAAAAGUUACAGCCACGAAAUCAACCGAGCUGAUAAUGUUCCAUGGUCAUAUUUUAUUAAUUUCUAUAUAAACAAGUCGAGCGUAGACGAUAAGCGAUAGGUAUAUAUAAAGAGGUAUAUAUAGCAGUAUGCACUUAUGUACAUACAUAUGUAUGUGUACUAUGUGUAUAUAGAAAAUAUAUAUAUACAUACAUACAUAUAUGUUAGAUGUAUACAUGCUGUUAUGUAAGGAUGUAGUACAUUGAUUUAUCAAGUGCAAUGAUUGUAACCAGUUUAUAGAGAAUACCCACAGAAUAAGGUAUCAUAUAUCAUAUAGAUACUAAGCACAUUAAUUAACUAUGAUUAUUAUAAUUGAUAGACGAUUAGCCAGAAAGUAAAACAGAGGAGGAAUGCUUGUAAAUAAUUGAACCUUAGUUAUAUUUUAUAUACUAUUUUAAAUAAUUCUCGGAAGCGCUAAAUGCCAGAAUGGAUUGCAAUAAUUAUGGUUAAAUGUCUAAUAUACUAUAAAUAUUCAAUUACCCAAAGUAAAAGCGAUGUAUCUAUCAUUUAAUUAUUUAAAAAUAUAUAUAUUUUUAUACUAAAGAAAUUUAAAGAAUGACAAUUCAAUUAAUCCAUAAUUGAUCUAUAGCGUAUAUUCUUUGAGUUAUUAUCUCAUAAAAAAAAAAUAAUAAAAAAUAGCCUUUGUUCUCAUA